CACGUAGUUAGCCGGGGCUUCUUACUCAGGUACCGUCAUCUUCUUCCCUGCUGAUAGAGCUUUACAUACCGAAAUACUUCUUCACUCACGCGGCGUUGCUGCAUCAGGGUUUCCCCCAUUGUGCAAUAUUCCCCACUGCUGCCUUCCGUAGGAGUUUGGGCCGUGUCUCAGUCCCAAUGUGGCCGGUCACCCUCUCAGGUCGGCUACUGAUCGUCGCCUUGGUGGGCCGUUACCCCUCAACUAGCUAAUCAGACGCGGGUCCAUCUCAUACCACCGGAGUUUUUCACACAAGAACAUGCAUCCUCGUGCGCUUAUGCGGUAUUAGCAGUCAUUUCUAACUGUUAUCCCCCUGUAUGAGGCAGGUUACCCACGCGUUACUCACCCGUCCGCCACUCAGUCAAUCUAGCUUCCAUACCGAAAACUUCCCGCUAAAAUCGCUUCGUUCGACUUGCAUGUGUUAAGCACGCCGCCAGCGUUCACUCCUCGAGCCAGACUCAAAACUUCCG
rnacentral:rRNA from 1 species